GUUACGAAUAUCGAGGCCUAACUCAUCCCCACAAAACCAGCUUGUACGGUGAGGAGUGCCUCCUCGUUAUAAACUCUUCUCAAGAAACCUAUCUAUCCGAUGUGGGACUAAAUCCCACCCGAGUGUUGGCUGCUAACACACCCCCUCACGCUUCAGCCCGGCACAAUGGGCCUGAAGCGUGGAGAUGCAAGCCCAACGAUGGACCCAAUAGGCUCUGAUACCAUGUUACGAAUAUCGAGGCCUAACUCAUCCCCACAAAACCGGCUUGUACGGUGAGGAGUGCCUCCUCUUUAUAAACUCUUCUCAAGAAACCUAUCUAUCCGAUGUGGGACUAAAUCCCACCCGAGUGUUGGCUGCUAACACCCCCCCCCCAACCCAACCCGCACGCACGCCGAAGCCUCCACAUGUACAGUUCUUCCACCCCCAAACUUAGUUACCGAGUCGAUUACACUGGAAGCAUUGGCCAUCGUCCAACCUAACUGCCCUAUCCAUAAUAAUCAAACUUCCAAGAUCCUCUGAUUCUUGGUGAAUAGUCUCUGUUGCUGCAAUUUGUUACAGAAUAAUGGACUAGGCAAGUCCACCUGAGCUACCUCUUGUCGUUUUUAUUAAUAACCCUUCCUUCCCUACCUCUUGUUGAUUCAUUGGUAACACAAACUAGAGCCCCAACAAUCAAAGAAAAAGAUGUCCAUAAGAAGGAAAGGAAAAAGAGUGAAACUAGGAACACCUUUAAUUUGUUUCCGGAUAAAAGCUUCCCCAAUUUCAACAAAGAGAGGAUCGGAGGGAUCAAGAAGGUAUGUGCAGCACCAGCGAGGAUCAGCAUCAACAGUGUUCCUGGCAGCAAUAAUAACAAAACAACUUCAUUGAUAAAUACAUGGAACGAUAAACCUUUACAACUGAAAAGAAAAGCAUAAGCAUGAAUGUGAGUAACAAUUCCAAAACAUAACAACUUCUUAAAAAAGCAUUAUGCACUUGUUUCGAUGUUAGGUAUACAAAGUUAAGCAAUGGAUACUAAAAAGACCAACACCGAAACAUGAAUUACCUAAGAAAUGAACAAUCUUACAAAAGACAAGUGAAAUACCAGUCACCAAGUCUAGUUAUUUUCGCCGAAGGAAAUAUCUUCGUCAAAGCAGCCGGAACAUUUCCAGAGAAGGAUGGUAACACUAGAAUUAAAAAGUUUAAUGUUAAAUCAGAGCAUCAAAUUCAGAAAAAUGUAUGAAAGAAUUUGACACUUUAAAACCAUGUUCCCCUCUGUAAAUCUGGAUGCUUUAUUGAAAUUCACAUCACAUAUAAAUAUGUGUAUUGGUGGAAAAUCAUGAAACCAAAUUGCAUGGUUUGUGGCGUGUGUAUACCUGGAGUCAUCCCUAGCUCUAGCAUUCGAGAGAUUAUCUGUUUCUGUAAGACCAAUUGUUGAUCUAACCAGUUUUGAGAUAAAGGUCCACCCCACCUGUGCAAAGAAAGAUCUCAUUAGAAACCAAAGCACCUGAAAAGAUAACAGCUACCAUUUGUUCAAAACAACCAGAAAAUGCAAAAUAAAAAAAACGGGAUAGUAUCCAUGACACCUAUAAUAUACAAAGAUGGAUAGAGAAUGAAAAGUCUUUUUACGUGGUUAAUUCUGAUCCCAAUCUCUGAAGUUUAGAUAUCAGAUUGUACAGUACUAGUAACUAUUUGUAGUUGUUGCAUUCAAUUUUGUUUCAUUAUCCUUUUUAAUAGAGAUCGAUUGGGAUUUGGGAGGUUAAUUGCUAAAAUUUAGGCGAAACAGUAUCAGACUUGUUGUAGUGUGUCCAUUAUUUACUAUCCUAUGUAUUCAUGAGAUAAUCUGACCUUAAAUUCCAAUCACUUACCCACUUUGAACUGUAAUUUGCAGUCCAGAUCCUGAAACUUCUUUUCAAACAAUUCUGAAUUUCAGAUCAGAAAUCGGGGAGCACGAUUGGCAAUGCCAAGAAAAGUGCAGGAUUCUAUAUCCUUUACAGUUCACACAAUAAUAGUUACAAACUCAGAUUUUAUGAAAUCUACCUAGCAAAACUGGGUCAAUAUUUACAGACUCUUUUCUUCAUACACUCAAGUAGACUCAUAUUAACUUUAGACCAAGAUAAACUCACGAGUUAACUCGUGAGCUAGAGAGUGUGAUGUCAACGAAAGGAAAAGGUCAAAAACACAGCCUAUGAGUGCAUUUCUGUUGGAACACACCUUUUUGAACUAUGUUUUAAAUACUGUUCCAACAAAUUCUUAUGUUCCCUUCAGCCAUUUCGAUCAAUGCUUCACUCUAGCUCUUGAAUCUUUAAGUGAAACCCUCUGUCUGUCUUCAAAACAUCACCUAGGGUUAAGACCUUCAACCUGUUUAUAGCUGAAGCUUCAUCUAAGCUCAGAUCUCCGGUUGAAGCCUCAGCCCUCUACGAAACUUCAUCUAGAGUUACCUUUAAACAUAAUUCUCUCUCCUUACAGCGUAGACCUUCAAAUCUAAUCAACAAAACUCUGGAAAAGACAAAUGAAUGUGUUACACAACCUCUUAUUUUAACCGUCACUAAGAAUCAUCCUUUUACAUAAUAUCCAUUUUAGCUAAAACUUUGUGCCGGUCAGCACAAUUUAAGUCACUUCAAACAAUAGCAACUUUUUUUGUUCUUCUUCUUUCAUCUAUGAGCAUUACAAUUCUCAAAUAAUGUUGUUAUAGCGUAAAAUGUUCAACAUGGACCACCCGCAUUAUUAUAAUAUGAAAUAUGAAUGAAUAAUGAACACAAAACCCAAGAUUCCUUGAUUUUCAAGCCCAUUUCAUUAGCUUUCUAUACAGGAUGAACAUCAACAAGAUUUAAAUUUCUACUUUUACCUACCCAUGUAAAUUUCCCAUCCGCGCCCAAGCAAGGAAAGCUGGUCCACCAAAGAAACUAUUCAAAUCUUCUGAACUAAUAUUAAAAUCCUACAGUAAGAACAUACUGGUCAAAUCACUACUGAAAGAGAAAAAAAAUAUUAAAUGGAUAUUUUUAUGAGAAUAAAUUACACUGAUAAAAACGAAGCAAUGCAUCUAAUUUAGUAUCUGUUCAGAUACAUAUUAAAAAUAAUAAAUAAUAUUAAAUAGAAAUUUUUAUGAGAAUAAAUUACACUGAUAAAAACGAAGCAAUGCAUCUAAUUUAGUAGCUGUUCAGAUACAUAAUAAAAAAUAUACAUUGUGUAUUCAAAGCCAGUGGAAGAAUCACAUGAUGUAUCUUGAUGUGGAAAUAUGCUAAAAGAUGUACUGAAGAAAUAUGUGCUCUCUAUUUGACGUGUCAAAACUGAUCAGAAGUUAGUGUCACAAAUUUUGGAGCCUAACUCAUCCUUACAAAACCGGCUUGUAAGGUGAGGAGUGCCUCCUCUUUAU
rnacentral:lncRNA from 1 species